UAGGGAAUCUUCGGCAAUGGGGGGAACCCUGACCGAGCAACGCCGCGUGAGUGAAGAAGGUUUUCGGAUCGUAAAGCUCUGUUGUUAAGGAAGAACGAGUGUGAGAAUGGAAAGUUCAUGCUGUGACGGUACUUAACCAGAAAGGGACGGCUAACUACGUGCCAGCAGCCGCGGUAAUACGUAGGUCCCGAGCGUUGUCCGGAUUUAUUGGGCGUAAAGCGAGCGCAGGCGGUUAGAAAAGUCUGAAGUGAAAGGCAGUGGCUCAACCAUUGUAGACUUUGGAAACUGUUUAACUUGAGUGCAGAAGGGGAGAGUGGAAUUCCAUGUGUAGCGGUGAAAUGCGUAGAUAUAUGGAGGAACACCGGUGGCGAAAGCGGCUCUCUGGUCUGUAACUGACGCUGAGGCUCGAAAGCGUGGGGAGCGAACAGG
rnacentral:rRNA from 1 species